CCUAACACAUGCAAGUCGAACGGACAAUUAUUUAUAGCCUCUGGCUAUAGGAAAUUGUUAGUGGCAGACGGGUGAGUAAUGCGUAGGAAUCUACCUAGUAGUACGGAAUAGCCAUUAGAAAUGGUGGGUAAUACUGUAUAAUCCCCGAGGGGGAAAGAUUUAUCGCUAUUAGAUGAGCCUACGUUAGAUUAGCUAGUUGGUGAGGUAAUGGCUUACCAAGGCUAUGAUCUAUAGCUGGUCUGAGAGGACGAUCAGCCACACUGGAACUGAGAUACGGUCCAGACUCCUACGGGAGGCAGCAGUGGGGAAUAUUGGACAAUGGGCGAAAGCCUGAUCCAGCUAUGCCGCGUGAGUGAAGAAGGCCUUCGGGUUGUAAAACUCUUUCAAUAGGGAAGAUAAUGACGGUACCUAUAGAAGAAGUCCCGGCAAACUCUGUG
rnacentral:rRNA from 1 species